rnacentral:rRNA from 1 species
UACGUAGGUGGCAAGCGUUGUCCGGAUUUACUGGGCGUAAAGCGCGCGUAGGCGGUUUGUUAAGUCGGGGGUGAAAUCCUGGAGCUCAACUCCAGAACUGCCUUCGAAACUGGCGAUCUUGAGUCCGGGAGAGGUGAGUGGAACUGCGAGUGUAGAGGUGAAAUUCGUAGAUAUUCGCAAGAACACCAGUGGCGAAGGCGGCUCACUGGCCCGGUACUGACGCUGAGGUGCGAAAGCGUGGGGAGCAAACAGG